GAUGAACGCUGGCGGCGUGCUUAACACAUGCAAGUCGAACGGAAAGGCCCCUUUGGGGGUCCUCGAGUGGCGAACGGGUGAGUAACACGUGAGUAACCUGCCCUUGACUUCGGGAUAACUUCAGGAAACUGGGGCUAAUACCGGAUAGGAAUCCUUGCUGCAUGGUGGGGGUUGGAAAGCUUCGGCGGUUUUGGAUGGACUCGCGGCUUAUCAGCUUGUUGGUGGGGUAGUGGCUUACCAAGGCUUUGACGGGUAGCCGGCCUGAGAGGGCGACCGGCCACAUUGGGACUGAGAUACGGCCCAGACUCCUACGGGAGGCAGCAGUGGGGAAUAUUGCACAAUGGGCGGAAGCCUGAUGCAGCAACGCCGCGUGCGGGAUGACGGCCUUCGGGUUGUAAACCGCUUUCAGCAGGGGCGAAGCUUGUGGUGACGGUACCUGCAGAAGAAGCACCGGCUAACUACGUG
rnacentral:rRNA from 1 species